rnacentral:rRNA from 1 species
UACGGGGGGGGGCAAGCGUUGUUCGGAAUUACUGGGCGUAAAGGGCUCGUAGGCGGCCAACUAAGUCAGACGUGAAAAUCCCCCCGGCUUAACCUGGGAACUGCGUCUGAUACUGGGAGCUAGAGUGCGGGAGAGGGAUGCGGAAUUCCAGGUGUAGCGGUGAAAAUGCGUAGAUAUCUGGAGGAACACCGGUGGCGAAGGCGGCAUCCUGGACCCGACACUGACGCUGAGGCGCGAAAAGCUAAGGGGUAGCAAAACGGGGGAUUAAGAUACCCCCGGUAGUCCCCCGAGA